rnacentral:rRNA from 1 species
CCUACGGGUGGCAGCAGUGGGGAAUAUUGUGCAAUGGGGGAAACACUGACGCAGCACCGCCGCGUGAGUGAGGAAGUAUCUCGGUAUGUAAAGCUCUAUCAGCGGGGAAUAAAGAGGACGGUACCCGACUAAGAAGCCACGGCUAACUACGUGCCAGCAGCCGCGGUAAUACGUAGGGGGCGAGCGUUAUCCGGAUUUACUGGGUGGAAAGUGAGCGUAGACGGCGUCGCAAGUCUGAAGUGAAAGCCCGUGGCUCACACGCGGAACCGCUUUGGACACUGCGAGGCUGGAGUGCUGGAGAGGUCAGCGGAAUUCCUGGUGUAGCGGUGAAAUGCGUAGAUAUCCGGAGGAACACCGGUGGCGAAGGCGGCGUACUGGACAGUGACUGACGUUGAGGCUCGAAAGCGUGGGGAGCGAACAGGAUUAGAUACCCUUGUAGUC